GGGCGCCCCCUGCUGGCCAUCAGGAGCCGCGCGCCGCGCAGGGCCCUCUGCCGGCAGAGAAGCGCCGUCUCGCGGAAGAUGAGCGAUUGGUGCUCAGAGCCGCGGGGCGCGACUCAGCGCUGCACGUCUCGUCUGCUGCCUUCAAACAGAGCUCUCUGCUGUCGCUCUGGCCGUUACCGACCCGUGGCUCUCUAGAGGAAUAGGGACUGACUGUUCUUCGGUGAGAAACCUGCCAGAAAGACGAACUUAAACUGAGACGAUGUGUGUUUUUAAAAGCAGUCAUCCCUCCCUCCGGCAGUCCUCAGUGUGCAAAUGACUGCAUUGGAUGGAAAAAAUCGUGCAGGGACUCCCGGAAGGAGCAGCUCAGUGGCACAAAGCACUGCAGCGAUGUGCUGUGCCGGGUGAGUGCAAACAUGGCUCACGGCGCUACGUUUUAAUGAGCCGGGACAAAUACUGAAGAUCUUUGAAAAGCACAGAGGAAUGUGUACACAGAGGGAAGACGUGCUAUUUAGAUAGGCACACCCUGACCUUUGCAGGCACUGCCCGGCCAGCUGGGCUCCCGCAGCCACGGGGCCACGGGAGGUGCUGGGCCUGCAGCCGGGCUGGGGCUGCAGGGGGUGGGGAUGCUGGCAAGUUUGCCCUCUUCCACACGGGUUGUAAUUGCUGAGCUGCGGGAUGGUGAUGAAAUUCAGGCAGGAAGUGCAGGGUUUCCUUGGGCCUGCAGUGCUAGCAGGAAGCAGCGGCUGAGCGGUCGCUGCUGCGGGGCGCACAGCUCUGAGAAGCGCGUGUGCUGGCGGGGGUGGCAGCGUGGCUUCACUGCGAGGUCCCAGAGCUGAAUGAAAGCUGCUGAGAUACAAAGAGAGUUGGCAAUAUAAGGAAAUGGCGGCUGCAAUGGAGCACACUGCUGGAAAGCAUUGUAUUUCUGGAGUUUGAAUGAUGUCAAUGUAUUUACUGAGAAGGAGGUGAGAUCAAUCUGCUGAGAUGCAAGGAAAAUGGGGGAAAUUCACUUCCUUUUCUUUUGCUCAGAGUGUUUGCAGAGCUGCAGUGCUCCCGGCUCGCAACAGCCACAGCACCACCCUUGUGCUACCUCAGACGUUUACCCGGACUGCUGCUGCCUCUUUAAGAGGAAGAAUGAGCACAGUUUUAAAUGCAUUCUCUCUGCAUUUCAGAACGGCCUGCGCUUUGCCCACCCCCACUCCAGCACACGCAGGCUCCUGCAGGUUUGGGAACGGCACAUCAGUUCAUUGCUGUUGCAGUGUUGCAAUGCCUAAAGCCCUUCACAAAACAAAGCUCCCAGUGCCUUUGCUGCCUGUUUGGAUACCUCCAUUUCCAGCUGCUGGUGACAUGUUUCCCAUGGGCUGCUCAGACAGGAGCUGCCUCUCAGUGUGAGGAGCUCUGUGCAGCUGGUAGGUGCUGCCCAGACAUGCAGCGAGCCACUGCAAUGCUGGGGCACAGCAGCAGAGCACUGCUUUUCUCCACCGCAGUCAGCUCAAGAAUGCUGAGGGCAGCAAAUGUCCUCCUGCCUAAAUACCCAGGAGGGAGCUGUUAUCAGCGAGGGGCAGAAGGUGAAGCUCUGGGCUCUGGUGGCAUCCCGAGAGGUGCCAGCCGCUCUGCCAGCACUUCCCCCAGCGUGGGGUGGCCCCACAGAGAUGUGGCAGCACUCCAUGGUGUGGAGGAAAGGUUGGCCUGGGGAGGUCCACUGGCAGCAAUAGCAUGUUCAUCCCUCAGCAGGUUUUAAUCACUGUUGGCAUGUUGUGCUGAAGACCAAAGCUAAUGAAGUCUCCAUACACACACAGGACAUGAAGUGCCCCAGACCCAAGCACUGUGUGGGGAUGCAGGUGCUGCCGACCUCUGCGCUGCUCCCACUGCUUUCCCAGAGCACAGAGUGGCAGUGAGCAGCGUCACUGAAAUGCCGAGACGGGAAGCAGUGGCUGCAGCUCUGCCUGCUGCUCUGUGCGUUUGCCAUGCAAAACUCCACCAAAGCUUCUGGAGGCUGCGUGCAGUCCGGAGCAGUUUCUGGAACCAGAGGCAAAGCGUAUUUCAUGCUGCUGUGUCUUCAACCACCAUUAUUUGCUCAGGUCUGUGAAGCAGGAGCAGCAGCACACCUCUCAGGGGACGUCCUUGUUUUCUUCUCCAGGCAUGAGUCUGGCAGCCACAGGGCAGCACAGAGAAUUAAAAAUGGACUUCUGCAGGAGGAUGAGAGGCUGCGAGCCUGAUGAUUAUACCUCUGUCUGCAAGCUCACCUGCAGCCUGGAGGCAGACAACGCUGUAUGCCUGAGGACAGGCACCUCCUGCUGUACUGCCCCUGCUCUGCUCACACACCACAGCUCAGGCUCCAAUAGGUGCGUCCUCUUUAGGGAAACAGAAAUGUACUUCAAAACUUUAAAUCCGUGGCUGCUUGUGCUACUGGGAUCGCUGCUGGGAGGGAGGUUCCCCCACUGCACGAGUCCAUUCCUCCACCUGAACGGCACAGCAGCCCUUUUCUGCUCACUGUAAUUUUGAUUUUAAAAGCAUAAAAGCAUGUGCAUUAUCUUCCAUUCCCAUGCCACACAGAGCUGCAGAGUGUGAAUGAAAUCCCAUGUCAGAUGAAAAUGGGAAACGUAGCCACAUGCUUACAUAUGAUUCUGUGUUAGGAGGUUGGGACUUUGGCAGGACGUGUUCAGCUCUGCUGACAGGUUUGUGUGUGCUCAGUGGGACUCCCACUGGGUUCUCAGGAGCUCUGCAGCCCCGUGUGCAGCACUGCUGGUGCCCGGCUGCCAUCCUGGACGAGCACUGUUUUCCAGAUUUGACUCUUCUUUAUUGUGUGCAAACUGAAGUCCAUUUGCACCCUCUCCAGUGGCCCUGCAGCUGCCAACGUUACCUCAGACACCUCCAGAACGUCUUCUGUGGAAGCUGGUGUUAAGUGAUGUUGGACACACCUCUGCAGGAGCAGCAUUUUCCUCCUGCGUUGUGUGGCACAUUGUGGCACGCAUGCAGAUGCGGGUGGAUGGGAUCCCUGUAACACCACAGGUAAUGCAAAAGUUGUAAAUGGUCCGUGAUAGGAGCAUGCUGCACCACGCUGCUCGGGAAGGUCUGCCAGGAAGGUCUGCUUAAACAGAGCUGUAAUUUGUUGAAAUAACACUGCCCAUCAGAGACCAAUAUAGCAGGUUAACUAUAGCAGGAAGGCUGGGAUUCUGGCUGGCGAUGGAGCAUGAACAGCCUGCCCACAGGUGGAAGCAGCCAGCAUGUUCCUCAGUGCUUCUGCCAAACUAAAUGAGCAGCAGUGGUGAGAAACACAAUCUCCUCGGGGGAGGAAGCAGGAGAUGUGCUCCCAUUGCUCAGCAGAUUUGAAAGAGCAGCAGAGAUCAGUGCUGGCUCUCCUGUCACACUGUACGUCAUUGCUUGCCCGUGGUUCAAGGACCUGGAGCUUUUUUGAGAGCUUUGCGUAUGAUGAAAGUCUUCCCCACACAAACAGCUCAAUCUCACAUAAAACUAUCCAGCAUUAUCGCGUUGGGCUUGGGACUCACAGGACCUGAGCUCAAGUGUUUUGCCAACAACCCCCUCUGUAGUUUUAGGUUGCUCGCUUAUGUUGUUACCUGUUGCCCACCCAUGGAAUUGCAGAAGGUGUUCCCCAGCCCUGUGCCCUGCCUCCAGCAGCAGGGAGGGUUGCUGCAUGCGGUGGCUGUGAGCUGGGGGGUCGGGAUGCAUUCACAGUGCACUUCUGUAGCACAGUGCCAAAACCCAACAUCUGCUUCCCAGUGACUUUUUCCACUCACAACCUUGUUAUUUCUCAUCUGUGAUUACAAAACUCGGGUGUUUACCAGCACCACGUGCUCAAAAAGACAUGGAUCUGCAUUUUUCAGAUUCCUUCUGUGAAAUACAACCCUGUUUCCAGACAGGAUGUAGUGUUGGCAGAAGUGCAGAUUUCUCACAUGAGGAACAGAGCCUGAAGGUUUCAGGGCUGCUGUGCUGCACUGUGGAUGCAAAGCACCACACACUGGCAGAGCUUUGCAUGCUGCUGGGGAAUGGAGACCCACAGAGCCCAUGGAUAACCUGAUCCCGAGUCAGGAGCACACAGGGGGGACAGAGAGGCUGUAAAAGUAACUCCUGUGCAGCCCGAUCCCAUGCAGUGAAUUCUCACAGCCCACACGGAGCUGUUUCCCAGUGACUUCUGUGCAGCCACGGGCAGCCAACAAGUUGCUGCACAGCACUGCGUGCUGCUAUACACCGCUGCGUGCUGCUGCAUGCCACAACAUGAUGCUGCACACUGCUGCAUGCCUCUGCUACACCGCUGCACGCCGCUGCACACUGCCACAUGGCUUCAGAACCAGGAACCAGCUGAAGAGCUCACAGCAGGACUGAAAAGCCAUGCUGGGCCACAGUGUGCAGGACUGAGCCCCCACAGACCGCGUUUCAUUGACUCACAUGUACUAAGAACAAAGCGACUGGGAAUGGCUGUGAUGCAGGCAGGGAAAGGGUUGGGAGGCCGCAGGUGCUUACAUGGAGAGGUGCCAUUCCAAGCACAGGGAAGCAGUCGGCGGCAGAGCACACCAGGCAGAACGUGCUGGUACCUGAGCAGGACACUGCCAGUGCACAAAGAAAACUCCGGAGAAUGUUUCCACGUUGGGAUGUAACUCUGAAUGGAAAAGGUCUUCCAGAAGUUGGCUCCAGACCCUCAUCCUCGGUCGGUGGAGUCACCGACCCUGGUGGUGUUCAAAGAGCGUUUGGAUGUUGUGUUGAGGGACGUGGUUUAGUGAGAACCAUUGGUGAAGGGCGAAUGGUUGGACUGCAUGAUCCUGUGGGUCUUUUCCAACCUUAGCAAUUCUAUGAUUCUAUGAUUGUAUGAGCCUUCUUCAGGUGCUGUAAUACAGUUUUAGGAGGUUCCUGGCCAAAGUGCUAACAGUGGAAUACUGGCACUGUGCAAUUCCAGUGGAGCUGUUCAGCCCAUCCCCGCUCAUCCGCAGCCCCCACUGCUGCACAGAUCCGUUCCUGGGAGGCACUGCUGGCACUCGCAGUGCGUGGCUCUGCUGGCCCUGCUCGGCUCCUCUCACUGCAGCCCCAAAACUGCUCUAUCCACCGCGGGCUUUAACUUCCAUCAGCAUAUCAACCUGAUUUCUGCUAAUAGGAAAAUGAAAUGUGUCUUUCUGUCUCCAUUUUGCAAAAGAUAAAGAACUAAGAGUGUGCGUGACAUGACAGAACCUCAAUCUGACCUUCUCCUUGGGCAUUAUUAAUAGUAAAUGCAUAUCGGGUGGUUUCACAACGACCUUGAGAGCGAGUGACACAUCUCACCUGCUGGGGCACAGCUCCCCAGGCAUUUUGGAAAAGGAAAUCCUUAUUUCUAUUAACUUAUGGGGAAAAUGGAAGCACUGCGGUGUCCAUGCAGAGGUUUUUCCAGUGUCCCAAAACGCCCGAUGCAGAAAUGCCCGCGGGUUUGGGGGCUUACCUGUAAGCACUGUAUUUACUGUGGGCUAAUGAAGAAGAAAUAAAAUUCAACUUCAACCUCCUUCCAAUUUGCAAGUUAUGAAAAAUGCUUCUAGAAGGGAGCUAAUAAAUGUGAUGGAUG
ensembl:lncRNA